rnacentral:tRNA from 2 species
GAUAAAGUGUUCUAACAUUAGGAUAUAGGGCUCAUGCCCCUAAGGCGCCGUGAGUAACGGCCUUUAUCU